CCAUUGGAGCCAUUUCAAAGGUUUUAAAAGAGAGAGAGUAAGAGGUUGGAGAGGCUAUGAAUUCAAUCACUUCAGGAAUAGCUUUUUAUACUACCAUUUACUUCUUGUAGUUCUUAUUUGUUAGCUGUUAGGUGAUUGGAUUUGGUAUUUUAAAUUUUGCAAAGUGAGUUGCAUAUCCAACCUUCAUCUCGCCAUUUGGCAGAAAACAAUUUUACAUUUUUCUGUUUUACCUUAUAAAAGAAAUUCAUCACAGGCC
rnacentral:misc_RNA from 1 species